GAUAUGAAAGACAUGUUAAAGAAGGACAAGAAUGUUGCCAAUGCUUGAAGUGCUUAAAACUAAUGGACCUGAGAAGAGACUUGGAAGGAUGGAAGUCGAUUCUGGCAAAGUCAGAAAAGGAAAAACAGGGCCUGGAUGACAAAGUACAGAGCAGACCUUUGCCAACGGGAUGAAAGUAUUGCUAAGACCCAGAAGGAAAAUAAAGACCAAGAGAAGCUUCAGCAGAAGGAAGAAACAUCAGAGUACAAUAGAGUUCCUCUAAGCUACCCUGGAGGAAGAGGUCAGAGGUCAUGCCAAAGCUCUGAGGAAGAAAAUGGAGUCAGACUUGAAUAAAAUGGAGAUGCAGCAGGACAAUGGCACCAAAAACAAUGGUGACCUUCAAGAGACUAUAAGAGCAUAUCUAAGCUCAUCAGAAUUAUUAUUUUUUAACUCAACUUUGGCCCCACUUGAGUAUGAAAUUGAGUUUUGUAUGAA